rnacentral:tRNA from 1 species
GCCCACGUAGCUCAGUUGGUAGAGCACUCCCUUGGUAAGGGAGAGGUCACCGGUUCAAAUCCGGUCGCGGGCUCCA